rnacentral:rRNA from 1 species
CCCUUAGAUGUUCUGGGCUGCACGCGCGCUACAAUGGCGUUUUCAAAAAGAUUGCUAAUCCGAAAGGACCAGCGGAUCUUCGAAGUGGCGUCGUGAUCGGGGCAGUUGAUUGCAAUUAUUCGACUCGAACGAGGAAUUCCUUGUAAUCGUGCGUCAUCAGCGCACGCUGAAUACGUCCCUGUUCUUUGUACACACCGCCCGUCGCUCCUACCGAUCGAGCGAUCCAAUGAAUGUUUCGGAGCGGAACUGAGAUGCUAAUGCGUCUCUUUUACGCGAAUUUGUGUGAAUUUGAUCGCUUAGAGGAAGGAGAAGUCGUAACA